rnacentral:rRNA from 1 species
UAUUACCGCGGCUGCUGGCACGUAGUUAGCCGGUGCUUCUUCUGCAGGUACCGUCACUCACGCUUCGUCCCUGCUGAAAGCGGUUUACAACCCGAAGGCCGUCAUCCCGCACGCGGCGUUGCUGCAUCAGGCUUCCGCCCAUUGUGCAAUAUUCCCCACUGCUGCCUCCCGUAGGA